UUCACAAAUUGGUGACCGUGAAGGGACCCAGAGAGACUGCCUGAGACCCCCUGGAGCAUCAAGAGGCCUCAGUGCCAUGGUACCAGCAGGGACCUUUGAGCCCAACUGGCUCCCCGAAGUUCCAGCUGCAGCAUGGUCAGUGCCAGAGUAAAGGAAAGAAAAAGAAGAAAGGAUUUCCUGUUUAGUUAAAGUAUGAAGUCUUGAGCUGGCAUCUUGGGUGAAAGCAGUCUAUCUUAACGUCAGCGGCUUCUCUUCCUGGUCAAUGUGGUGUGGAGGUCUCCAGCAUUUGCGUAGGACCAGAUGUCAGGUGGAACCUUCCUCAGCUGUGAGAUGUAAACCAACAGCAACCAAGGAGAUGAGACUGUGGACACCAGCAGUAAUGAAAGAG
rnacentral:lncRNA from 1 species